rnacentral:lncRNA from 1 species
CCUAUCUACAUUCUAAAAUAACUUCUAUGACACUCAUGAUUCUUAAAGCACUUUCACCUUCAUCCUAGUAUCUCAUCUUGAGCAGACAAGCUUCUUGAAGGCAAAGGUUCUUUGGAGCCUUGGGGGUCACAGGAGUGUCAGCCCAGACCUUCGUGAAGGAUCAGAUCACGAUGUGAUAAACCCCAGGUUAUUACAAGAUAUUGAUCAAAAACAUUUUUAAAAAUUGAGGUAUAGGACUUUCCUGGUGGUACCGUGGAUAAGGAUCUGCCUGCCAAUACAGGAGCCCCGGGUUUGAUCCCUGGUCUGGGAAGAUUAC